rnacentral:misc_RNA from 1 species
AUCAACCGCGAGCACAAGGUGACGAUCCUGGUGGUCGAACAGAACGCCCAGCUCGCGCUCGAACUCGCGGAACAGGCCUAUGUGAUCGAAACCGGACGCAUCGUGAUGUCGGGAAGCGCGAAGGAAAUCGCGAACAACGAAGACAUCCGCAAAUCCUAUCUCGGAUACUGAGGACCAAGCCAUGGAACUGUUUACCAACC